UACUAUGUUACGACUUAUCUUUAAAAUUUUAACGAGAGUGACGGGCGAUGUGUGCAUACCUUAGAGCUUAAAUCAUAUUUACAAUCUACAAAAAAUUACUAUCAAAUCCACCUUCACAUAAAUCAUUCCAAAAUUAUAAUCCGUUUACCUUUAAAUAUUGUAAUCCAUCUCCCCUUAAUUAUAAGCUGCACCUUGACCUGAAAUAAAAUCAUUAUACUACAUAUUUUAAGAAAAUAUUAUCUCUAAAAAAAUAUUCAAUAAACGGCGGUAUACAUACUUUAUAAAUAAGUUAAGAUUCAACGUGGACUAUCGAUUACGGGACAGAUUCCUCUAAACAGACUAAAAUACCGCCAAAUUCUUUAAGUUUCAAGAUCAUAACUAUUACUACCUAAGUUUAAAAUUAUAUUACAUAUAGGGUAUCUAAUCCUAGUUU
rnacentral:rRNA from 1 species